rnacentral:rRNA from 1 species
CUUGCUCCUUGGGUGACGAGUGGCGGACGGGUGAGUAAUGUCUGGGAAACUGCCCGAUGGAGGGGGAUAACUACUGGAAACGGUAGCUAAUACCGCAUAACGUCGCAAGACCAAAGAGGGGGACCUUCGGGCCUCUUGCCAUCGGAUGUGCCCAGAUGGGAUUAGCUAGUAGGUGGGGUAACGGCUCACCUAGGCGACGAUCCCUAGCUGGUCUGAGAGGAUGACCAGCCACACUGGAACUGAGACACGGUCCAGACUCCUACGGGAGGCAGCAGUGGGGAAUAUUGCACAAUGGGCGCAAGCCUGAUGCAGCCAUGCCGCGUGUAUGAAGAAGGCCUUCGGGUUGUAAAGUACUUUCAGCGAGGAGGAAGGUGUUGUGGUUAAUAACCGCAGUGAUUGACGUUACUCGCAAAAGAAGCACCGGCUAACUCCGUGCCAGCAGCCGCGGUAAUACGGAGGGUGCAAGCGUUAAUCGGAAUUACUGGGCGUAAAGCGCACGCAGGCGGUCUGUCAAGUCGGAUGUGAAAUCCCCGGGCUCACCUGGGAACUGCUCCGAAACUGGCAGGCUAGAGUCUU